rnacentral:rRNA from 1 species
UACGUAGGGUGCAAGCGUUGUCCGGAAUUAUUGGGCGUAAAGAGCUCGUAGGCGGUCUGUUGCGUCGGCUGUGAAAACCCGGGGCUCAACUCCGGGCCUGCAGCCGAUACGGGCAGACUAGAGUUCGGCAGGGGAGACUGGAAUUCCUGGUGUAGCGGUGAAAUGCGCAGAUAUCUGGAGGAACACCGGUGGCGAAGGCGGCAUCCUGGACCGGUAUUGAUGCUGAGGCGCGAAAGCUAGGGGAGCAAACGGG